CCUACGGGUGGCAGCAGUGAGGAAUAUUGGUCAAUGGCCGGAAGGCUGAACCAGCCAAGCCGCGUGAAGGACGAAGGUGCCAAGCAUUGUAAACUUCUUUUGUCAAGGGACAAAAUCAGGCUCGAGAGCCUGACCGAGGGUACUUGAAGAAAAAGCAUCGGCUAACUCGGUGCCAGCAGCCGCGGAAAUACGGAGGAUGCGGGGGUUAUCCGGAUUUAUUGGGUUAAAGGGGUGCGUGGGGGGGCUGUUAAGUCAGUGGUAAAAGCCCGGGGCUCAACCCCGUCGAGCCGUUGAAACUGGCGGUCUUGAGAGGUCGAGGGGUAGGCGGAAUGCGUAGUGUAGCGGUGAAAUGCUUAGAUAUUGCGAAGAACUCCGAUUGCGAAGGCA
rnacentral:rRNA from 1 species